rnacentral:lncRNA from 1 species
CCGGCGGCGCGUUCCUGGCAGCGGCCCCUCCCCGCCGCGCGCUCCGCCCCCAACUUCUCAUUCACACUUUCCCCCCACCCCCCUCCCUUCUAAGAAGGCUGAUUUCUGGCAGAGGCGGGGGCGCCGCUUCGGGAGAGCGGGCAGUUCUAGGAGGCCGACCUGGAGAGCCUCCCGGUUCCCCUUCCCCUUUUCCCGGACCCCGCGGGGACACCCCCUCGCCGCCACCCGGGCCUCCCCGAGGGCCCAACUGCGGGUCAGGCGGCCCGGGCCAGCCGAAAGGGAAGUGGGGCUACCCCACAGCCAGGCAGCGGGGCUGGGGUCAGACCCGGGAGCCGGAGGUUGGAGACGUGCGACAGUCACCUGCGGGCAGAUUCCAGAGGGGAGACCCAGGGCUGCAGGGGACGCCCCUUCGUGGCAGCUACCCAGCCUCGGCCCACUGCCAGUGUUACGUGGCUGCAUGACCAUACACUUCUGGGUAGAGCCCAGUGGAAGACAAAGAAGACUCAAGGAAUAGCCCUUGAGGGCUCAGGAGCUAUACAGAUGGGAUAGAGGGUGUGAGUGCUGGGAAGCCCCAUCCAUGGCUCGCUGGAGAUUAGAGGCCUGUUAAUCUGAAGACAAAGGAAUGAAGACGAAAACGUUUCUGAAAAUGUGGGUGGAGACACCUGGGCCUUUACAGGGUACGCUCCAGAGCUGCUUCCAGGCAGGGACCCCGGCUGAGAGAAGCCAGAGCCAGAGAGUCGCAGGCUUGCUUGCUCUUAUCUUCCCUCUGCUGGGGGGGUCGAGGGGAGAUCUGGCCCCUCUGCUCUGCCCUCCUGAUUUCCCGUCUAAGGGAUUUAGGAGACUUUUGCCUUUUCCUAAUCUCUCCCUUUGCAGAAUUUCUGCGAAGUCACAAUCCCAUUUCCAGGCAAAGGUGCUUGGUCAUAAAGAUAAUAAAGAUAUUCAUUCAUGAUGGAGGGGAAGUACACAGUGGUUUCAGCUGCCUGUAGGGCUCCACUUACUCAUGGUGUGUGACAGAUGCUGAGCCCUUCCCCAAAUCUCAUGGAUGGGAAGGAAACCUGGCGCCGCGGGGUGGUCGCGGGAAGCCGUGGCAUGGCUUGGUGAACACAGGCUCGCCGACCCGGGGGCGGAUGCUGAGGUUGCCAUUGUUGGUGGCUGCAUCUGCAGUAGACGGGUCGGGAUGCCGGCCUCAGACCACAGCGUUGCUAAAUGCCAAACCCAAGGCCUCCCCGUCUUUAACACUGCUGGGCAUUCUACAGCGCAAGGAGGCAGCUGGGGCUGGACUGCCCAGUGCCUGCCGUUGACUGUGCGUCUUCUGCCUGUGAGCUAGCCUGCCACACCUGGGGAUACACGGUGGGGAAAUCAAUCAGCUUCCCUCCCUUCUAGAGCUUCAGGUCCGGCGUUGGUGUCUAGAGGCAAGGGGAGGAGGCAGGGAGGCCUCUUCUUUUCUGUCCCCCUUUCUCUUGGCCAAUUUGGAGGAGAUGGUGGGGGACCUGUCUCUCAUCUGACCUCCUGGAAGCCCUGCCUGCUGCUCCAGUGUGGCUCUCCCAGGGCUGAGGCCUGGAACCUAGGGCUGGGCUACCUGGGGUGCUCAGCUCUGCCGCACCCCAGCCCUCCUCGGCUGCAGCCCUGGCUUCUUUUCUUACCCACUGGGAUGGCCCGUGGGACUAACCUUGCAGCCUGCAGGACUAUGGCCCAGAUGACCUUUCCGGAGCAGGGGAAGAGUUCACAGGUCUCAGACCAGGUUGACCCCGAGCCCUCUCUUUCCUGCUUCGCAUAGGGGCGGGCCAAGGGAGGCAGGGACAAUGGCAUUCCUGUUUGCAGGCCUUUGUUCCCGCCAGGAGGGCCCCCGGAGCUAAUAAAAAGGUUUGUGGCUCCGAUGUCUAAGAGGCAGUGGAGGAGUUCUUUCAAGCCUGACAUUCCAGGCCCAGCCGGCCUCUGGCAUUUCCCAGAAAAACUUCGAGGAGGGGAGGGGAAAGAAAACACUUGAGGGACCCACCCACCUACCCACUGCCCGCCUUCUCGGAUUCCUCGUUCCCUCUGGGGAUUGGGCUGGGCCGGAGUGCCAGGACCCCUGCCCUGGGGGGCCCAUUCCUCCACCCACAGAGGGGCCCUGGGAAGUGUUGAGAGGGUGAGAGUGGAUCCUGAACCAACUUUGAAGGCAGAGAAGUGGGCUAGAAGAAGUGGGGUUGGAGCCUCCACCAAGGACAAGAAGGCCUUAGCCCCCUGCUUCCAGCUCAAGCUGAAGUGGCUGUGAGCUGAGCUAAGAAGACCCCACUUCGCCAGGAGGAGUGCCUCACGCCUGUAAUCCCAGCACUUUGAAAGGCCGAGGCAGGUGGAUCACGUGAGGUCAGGAGUUUAAGACCAGCCUGGCCAACAUGGUGAGACCCCUUCUCUACUAAAAAUACAAAAAUUAGCCGGGAGUGGUGGCGCGCACCUGUAGUCCCAGCUACUCAGGAGGCUGAGGUGGAAGAAUCUCUUGAAUCGGGGAGACAGAGGCUGCAGCGGAGCUGAGAUAGUGCCACUGCAUUCCAGCCUGGGGGACAGAGUGAGACUGUCUCAAAAAAAAAAAAAAAAAAAAAAGAGAGAAAAGAACCCAUUUAAUUCUACCUGUGGGAGGUGGUUCAGGCAUUUGUGGAACUUUGCAAAUUGAAAACAUAGUUUGUGAAUACCUAAGACAGCCCCAUAGGUCAGCAUUCAAAAGGUGCAAUCAGGUGAGCCAGAGUCUUCCCCUCCUAUUCCCUGGCUUCCUGUGCC